GGGGUUGUGGCUCAGUGGUAGAGCACUCGCCUUGCACAUGUGAAGCACUGGGUUUGAUCCCCAGCACCG
rnacentral:tRNA from 1 species